rnacentral:rRNA from 1 species
CCUACGGGUGGCAGCAGUGAGGAAUAUUUGUCAAUGGACGAGAGUCUGAACCAGCCAAGUAGCGUGAAGGAUGACUGCCCUAUGGGUUGUAAACUUCUUUUAUAUGGGAAUAAAGUGUUCCACGUGUGGGAUUUUGUAUGUACCUUAUGAAUAAGGAUCGGCUAACUCCGUGCCCGCAGCCGCGGUAAUACGUAGGGGGCAAGCGUUAUCCGGCUUUAUUGGGUGUAAAGGGAGCGUAGGCGGCGCUUAAAGUCCGGGGUGAAAGUCCAGGGCUUAACCCUGGUACUGCUCUGGAAACGGUGGGGCUUGAGUGCGGGAGGGGCAGGCGGAAUGCGGAGUGUAGCGGUGAAAUGCGUAGAUAUUAGGAAGAACACCGACGGCGAAGGCAGCCUGCUGGACCGUAACUGACGUUGAGGCACGAAAGCGUGGGUAGCAAACAGGAUUAGAUACCCGUGUAGUC